CUAAAAUUAUGCCAAGGAGACCCCCUACUGAAAUAAAAUUAGUUCCAAGUUGAAGCUGACAUGUGUCUCUAAAUAUUCAUAAAAGAAAAUAUAAUACCAUCUACUCUAUUUACAGCAGAAAAUUGAUGAAAUGCAAAAAAAAAAUGACCCCACCCAUCUUUGAGCCCCCUAAUUAUGCCAAGAUGACACCCUGGUAUCAUGGACAUUGGGUUCUGCAACCCCCAUGGUGCAGACCUGUACCCAGAAUAAAUAUCAAGUUUCCAUCCCCUAAUGCUUUAAAGAAAAUGGUAGGACAGUUUAAGGGGUCAGAAAGAGAAGAAUAAGAAUAAUAACUAGAAUUGCCAUUGCAAGCAAUAGCGGAUGUCACCCUUCCCC
rnacentral:lncRNA from 1 species